CCAGUGUGAAGCAUCGGUAAGACGUUGUGGAGGCGCGAACCCACGUAGGUUAAAAACUGCGGGGAUGAGUUGUGGGGUGAUGGCGUGCCUUUUGAAGAAUGAGCCUGCGAGUCAGCGGCGCGUCGCGAGGUUAACCCGUGUGGGGUAGCCGUAGGGAAACCGAGUCCUAAUGAGGGCGGUUGAGUGGCGUGUCCUGGACCCGAAGCGGGGUGAUCUACCCAUGGCCAGUGUGAAGCAUCGGUAAGACGUUGUGGAGGCGCGAACCCACGUAGGUUAAAAACUGCGGGGAUGAGUUGUGGGUAGGGGUGAAAGGCCAAUCAAACUCCGUGAUAGCUGGUUCUCCCCGAAAUGCAUUUAGGUGCAGCGUUGCGUGUUUCUUGUUGGAGGUAGAGCGACUGGAUGGUUUAGCGGGACUAUCAUCUUAGCGACAUCAGCCAAACUCCGAAUGCCAGCAAGGUGAGAGCGUGGCAGUGAGACUGCGGGGGAUAAGCUCCGUGGGUCGAGAGGGAAACAGCCCAGAUCGCCGGCUAAGGCCCCUAAGUGUGUACUAAGUGGAAAAGGAUGUGGGAUCGCGAAGACAACCAGGAGGUUGGCUUAGAAGCAGCCAUCCUUGAAAGAGUGCGUAAUAGCUCACUGGUCGAGUGGUUGUGCGCCGACAAUGUAGUGGGGCUUAAGUGCACCGCCGAAGCCGCGGAAACCACGUUUGUGGUUUGGUAGGGGAGCGUCGUGUGCUCGUGGAAGCUGCUGGGUGACUGGUGGUGGAGGGUAUGCGAGUGAGAAUGCAGGCAUGAGUAGCGAAUGACAAGUGAGAAUCUUGUCCGCCGGAUGACUAAGGGUUCCUGGGUUAAGCUUUUCUUCCCAGGGUGAGUCGGGGCCUAAGGCGAGGCCGUCAGGCGUAGUCGAUGGAUAACGGGUUGAUAUUCCCGUACCCGUGCAUGCGCGCCCAUGGUGAAUCAGUGAUACUAACCGCCCUGAAGCACACGUGGCAGCCUUUUGGGUUGUUGUGUGUGGAUGCGUGGGGCCUGAUCUGGUAGUAGUCAAGUGAUGGGGUGACGCAGUGUGGUAGCCGAGCCACUGAGUGGAUUGUGGUGUAAGCGUGUAGCCCGGUAUCUAGGUAAAUCCGGAUGCCCUGUGGGGUGAGGCGUGAUGCGUACCCGUUGUGGGGAUGUUGGUGAUCCAUUGCUGUCGAGAAAAGCCUCUAGCGAUGUGUGUGUGCGGCCCGUACCCGAAACCGACACAGGUGGUCAGGUAGAGAAUACUAAGGCGACGGGUGAACUGUGGUUAAGGAAUUCGGCAAAAUGCCCCCGUAACUUCGGGAGAAGGGGGACCACUGCUGGUGACAGACUGGUUGAGCUGGUGGUGGUCGCAGAGAGUAGAGGGAAGCGACUGUUUACUAAAAACACAGGUCCGUGCGAAGACGUGAAGUCGAGGUAUACGGACUGACGCCUGCCCGGUGCUGGAAGGUUAAGAGGACCUGUUAGGCCGCCUUUGUUGGUGGUCGAAGCGGAGAAUUUAAGCCCCAGUAAACGGCGGUGGUAACUAUAACCAUCCUAAGGUAGCGAAAUUCCUUGUCGGGUAAGUUC
rnacentral:rRNA from 1 species